AGUUCGUGCAAAGCAGAAAAGAUGAAGAAGCUCUCCCGAAAGCUCGCACUGGCUGCAGCUGCGCUAUUUUGGUUAGCGGCUUUACUCUACUUCAUCCUCCUGAACAGCAGGAAGAUCCCCGAGCAGCAUGCCGAGAGCCAGAGAGAGGAGGAGGAGAUAUGGAAUACAGAAUGGGAUGAUCUCUUAGAUGAGUUCGAAGAGAAGAACUACCUCAACACUCACAGGUGGAAGCCAGGCCAAGAUCCGUACACUCAAUAUGCCUUCAAUCAAAGAGAAAGCGAGAGGAUCCCCAGCAACAGAGGGCUUAAGGACACCCGGCAUUACAGGUGUACAACACUGCACUAUGACCCUGAGCUUCCAUCCACGAGUAUCGUGAUCACACUGCACAAUGAGGCACGCUCCACACUUCUGCGCACACUGAGGAGCCUGUUGAAUCGGACUCCUGUGCACCUGAUUCAUGAGAUCAUUCUGGUGGACGACUUUAGUGUGGAUCCAAACGACUGCCUUCUUCUGACCAAGUUACCUAAAGUCAAGUGUCUCCGUAACAAACAAAGAGAAGGGUUGAUUCGGUCCAGGGUUCGAGGAGCAGAUGCUGCAAAAGCAGAGGUCCUGACCUUUCUCGACAGCCACUGUGAGGUCAACAAGGACUGGCUGCCUCCACUGCUUCAAAGGGUCAAAGAGGACCAGAGCUGUAUUGCCAGCCCAGUGAUUGACAUCAUUGACAUGGACUCAUUUGCCUACAUUGCUGCUUCUUCAAACCUGCAGGGUGGCUUUGACUGGAGUCUACAUUUCAAGUGGGAGCAGCUCUCUGCUGAGAAGAGAGCCAGGCGAGGGAACCCUACAGAACCCAUUAAGACGCCCAUUCUUCCCGGAGGGCUCCUUGUAGUCAAUAAAUCCUGGUUUAACCAGAUGGGGAAAUAUGACACAGCCAUGGAUAUCUGGGGCGGAGAGAACUUUGAGAUCUCAUUUCGAGUCUGGAUGUGUGGAGGAAGUCUGGAGAUCGUUCCUUGCAGCAGAGUUGGCCAUGUUUUCCGCAAAAAACAUCCAUAUAACUUUCCCGAUGGAAAUGCCAAUACGUAUAUAAAGAACACAAGACGUACCGCUGAGGUGUGGAUGGAUGAGUUUAAAAUCUUCUAUUACUUUGCGCGCCCUGCAGCCAGGGGAAAGUCGUAUGGAGACGUUCGUGGUAGACAAGAGCUAAGAAAGAGUCUGAAAUGCAAAUCCUUCCAGUGGUAUUUGGACAAUGUCUAUCCAGAGCUCAAAGUUCCAGAUAAUUCACAUUCCAAAUCUGGGUUGAUCCAGCAAAGGCAAAACUGUCUCGAAGCUCAGCAAACUGAGGGACAAGAUGCUCUGGUGCUCAUGCUUUCCUUAUGUAGCAGCACCAGAACUGCCAAUCAGGAGUGGAUCUACACACAUGGACAGCAGAUUCGCCAGCAGGAUGUCUGCAUGUCCGUCUCUACCACGCUGCCUGCCUCACAGAUCCUACUUGUGCCAUGCAACAUCAGCGACAGCAAACAGCGCUGGCAGAGAACUGGCACCCAUUUGGAGCACCAGGUAUCGCAUUUCUGUCUGGACAGCGAGAUGGCUCUAGAUGGCGUGGACAACAGUGGAAUUUUGGUCAUCAGCCCAUGUGAACUUUCAAUGCAAACUCAGAGAUGGGAAAUGCCCUUUUCUUGACCCUGAGCACUUCUAGGCCAAAGAGUGAGAGAGGCUCCUGUGUGGAACUACAGGGAGGACAUCGCUGAUCUAUUGCCAUCGCAGGCACUUUCAUUGUCUGUUGCUCAAGAGGAUCCCUGGAGUAUCUCAAAGAACAGAAAUGAGGCUGAGUGCAUGUGCAAACCCAACCAGACUGUCAAAAUAGGGGAGAGCCAAGAUGUGCAGAAAACAUGCUCUCUCUCUCUCUCUCUCUCUCGCUCUCUCUCUCUCACACACACAUAAACACACACACAAACACACACAACAGGGCUGAAAAUUUUUUUUUCCCUCUUCCAAAUUACUUUUUUAUGCACGGUUGUGCCAUGUUUUUGCCCCCUUUGUCACUUAAUCAUCCAACUAAUAAAUUUACUAAAGCAAACACAAAGCACAAGCAACACAAAGCAAAUCACAAACCACUACUUAUUAAAAGGAACAUAAAAAUAUCCCAAAUGUCUUAAAUAUCCCAAAACACAUGUUAUUGCCCCAAAAUGUCUUUAGGGUUUAAGUUCUGUGGAGUCAAACCAACAGUUCAUAAUAAGAGCAUGUGAAACAUGGUGGUAGUUGUGUAACAGUGUGGGGAUGCUUUGCUGCUUUAAGGUGAUAUGCUGUAUUUUUUGGAUAAGACCUAAAACUAAAGUAUAUUAAGGCUAUACGACAAGAAAACAAUUUGAAGCACAAAAGUCAAGUGCACCUCUCAGUGCCUAACAUGCAAUAAAUGAGGGGUUUGGUUUGGCCUAGUCAAAGUGUUUGUGCUGUAAAUAAUAUUUGCCUUGGCCAUCCCAAAGCAUUGUGCAAUAACUCUGCUUGUACUGUACAU